CGGGAACUGGAUGUACUUGCUUAGAAAACAUUUCAACAUUUCCAAGGGUAUAGUUUCUCCCACAUACUCUGGAACGCUUGGAAACCACUUUAAUUAGCAUUGUUGGCCUGUCUGGCUGCCUCGGGUCUUUGGUUUGCUGAGGGCUGCAUGGAGGCUACGCCCUCCUCUCCAGCACCUGCGUUGGGAAGUCACAGGAGACCGGAGCUGCGCACGACAUCACAGAGCCGAGUUCUGACCCAAUCUGAAUCAAAUGUCACCCAUACCCUGUCUUCAACAAAUAAAAGAGCAACGAAGCCAGAGACACCAUCUUCAGAUGCCUUGGCCUGUAAGGAAUUCAUUCUGACUUGAGAUGUGCUUUAACACUUUCACAUGUAAUUGUGUCCGGAAUUGGUGGGUUCUUGGUCUCACUGACUUCAAGAAUGAAGCCGCGGACCCUCGCGGUGAGUGUUACAGCUCUUAAGGUGGCACGUCUGGAGUUUGUUCCUUCUGAUGUUCAGAUAUGUUUGGAGUUUCUUCCUUCUGGUGAGUUCGUGGUCUCGCUCGCUCAGGAGUGCAGCUGCAGACCUUCGCGGUGUGCCGGGGGUCCCGUCAGCUGCAGGACACGGGAGGGGUGGAGUGAAGCAGAAAGGCCCCGCCGUGACCACACUCAUCCCAGAAGAGCCUCUCUGUUGGCAUGAAAGGAAAUCACAGGGAAAGGGACUUUUCAAGGUCAGACUGCACCAGUGGAAAGUCAGCACCAGCCCCCAGGGCUCGAGGCAGCCUGUGCCCUUUCCACUAACUGUGCCAACUCUCACCAGGGGAAGGCUGACCAGGAACAAAGGCCCUCAGAGGAGAGCAGACCUCCUGCAGCCUGCACUUCCGAGAGAUCCUGCUCCACGGAGCCCGGCUCUACUCCUGCAGGCAGAACCUGCCAGCCCGCUGAUGCUGGGGGCUGAAGGAUCCCGGCGACACCAAGCGUCAGGUCAGGCGUCAGAAUCCAGUGUUUGCUCCUCGAGAACAGCGUGCCACCUGCUCUCAAGUGUGUGAGGGGCUGCAGUGCCGAGCUCCACUUCACAAGACUCACUCCUGCCCCACCACCUCCUGAGCAGACGCAGUCAAGCCCAACCUACCUUUCAACAAACAUUUAUUAGCACUCCCUCCAUGCCAGGCACUGUGCCAGGUGCGAGGGUACCAUGACCAAGCCAAGGCCCCAGGCUCAGAGCACUCACACGCCAGUGGAGGGGGCAGCCCUGUGUGGCCCAGCAGGGCACACCCCCCCUCCAGCCUAGGCUCCCACCCAGGCCUGGUCUGGGUAGCCCGGCGGACGUACUGACUCCCUGUUCACCGAUACCGUCAUCCAACCUUCCUAUUUAUACAUUAAAACACUGCAGCCAGAGAGGCGAGGUGUCCCGCCAAGAAACGGCCAAAUCCAGUUUCCUCCCAAGCCAGCCUCUCCUUACAAGCGGCUGAACCGCUUCAACCACUAGAGGGCACCAGCCAACCCUCGAUGGAUCCAAAUGUGCCCACGUCGUGAGGGAGCCUCGGCACCGGGUCGCGGCUCCCAGCUCCACGGUCAUAGAACACGAAUAGCUUUUGUCUUUUCUCAAAAUGAGCCCUGCAGUUGAGGCAAGCUUUACAUUGGCUGCACAGACUUUACUCUUUUUAAACAUUUUUUGGGAGUCCAUAGCAGAUGUAUAUAUUUAUGGGGUAUGAGAUGUUUUGAUAUAAGCAUAUAACUCAUAAUAAUCACGUCAGGGUAAAUGGGGUAUCCACCCCCUCAAGCAUCUAUUCUUUCUUCGUGUGACAAACAGUCUAAUUAUACUCUUUCAGUUAUUUUUAAGUGUACAAUAAAUUAUCAUUGACUAUAGUCACCCUGUCAUGCUGUCAAAUACUGCAUCUUAUUCAUUCUAACUAUACUUUCGUACCUAUCAACCCUCCCCA
rnacentral:lncRNA from 1 species